rnacentral:rRNA from 1 species
UGGGGGAUAUUGCACAAUGGGCGAAAGCCUGAUGCAGCAACGCCGCGUGAGGGAAGACGGUUUUCGGAUUGUAAACCUCUGUCUUCGGUGAAGAAAAAAAUGACGGUAGCCGAGGAGGAAGCCACGGCUAACUACGUGCCAGCAGCCGCGGUAAUACGUAGGUGGCGAGCGUUGUCCGGAAUUACUGGGUGUAAAGGGAGCGCAGGCGGGGAGACAAGUCAGCUGUGAAAACUAUGGGCUUAACCCAUAAACUGCAGUUGAAACUGUUUUUCUUGAGUGGAGUAGAGGUAGGCGGAAUUCCGAGUGUAGCGGUGAAAUGCGUAGAUAUUCGGAGGAACACCAGUGGCGAAGGCGGCCUACUGGGCUCUAACUGACGCUGAGGCUCGAAAGUGUGGGGAGCAAACA